CAGAGAAUAGUUUAAUGGAAAAUGCCAGCUUUGGGAGUUGGAGAUAAAGGUUUGAGUCCUUUUUUUCUGA
rnacentral:tRNA from 1 species